UGGCCCUUGAAACGACUGCUAAGACUGGAUAGGAAGAUAAAAGGCAUCUUGUAUCUUUUAAAAGACCUAGUUAAUAGGUAUGCUUUAGGAGGGGCUUGCGCCAUAUUAGUUAGUUGGUAGGGUAAUGGCCUACCAAGACGAUGAUGUGUAGCUGGACUGAGAGGUUGAACAGCCACAUUGGGACUGAGACACGGCCCAAACUCCUACGGGAGGCAGCAGUAGGGAAUUUUCGGCAAUGGAGGAAACUCUGACCGAGCAACGCCGCGUGAAUGACGAAGUACUUCGGUAUGUAAAGUUCUUUUAUCGAGGAAGAAAAGCAAAUGGCGAACCAUUUGUUUGCCGGUACUUGAUGAAUAAGCCCCGGCUAAUUAUGUGCCAGCAGCCGCGGUAAGACAUAAGGGGCAAGUGUUAUCCGGAAUUAUUGGGCGUAAAGGGUGCGUAGGCGGUCUAGUAAGUCAGUGGUGUAAUGUCAACGCUUAACGUUGUCCGGCUAUUGAAACUGCUAAACUUGAGUUAGAUAGAGGCGAGUGGAAUUCCAUGUGUAGCGGUAAAAUGCGUAAAUAUAUGGAGGAACACCAGAGGCGUAGGCGGCUCGCUGGGUCUUAACUGACGCUGAGGCACGAAAGCGUGGGGAGCAAACAGGAUUAGAUACCCUGGUAGUCCACGCCGUAAACGAUGAGUACUAAGUGUCGGGUUAAACCGGUACUGAAGUUAACACAUUAAGUACUCCGCCUGAGUAGUACGUACGCAAGUAUGAAACUUAAAGGAAUUGACGGGACUCCGCACAAGCGGUGGAUCAUGUUGUUUAAUUCGAAGAUACCCGAAAAACCUUACCAGGUCUUGACAUGUUUUUGCAAAAUGAUAGUAAUAUCGUGGAGGUUACCAGAAACACAGGUGGUGCAUGGUUGUCGUCAGCUCGUGUCGUGAGAUGUUAGGUUAAGUCCUAAAACGAGCGAAACCCUUAUCGUUAGUUGCCAGCACGUUAUGGUGGGGACUUUAACGAGACUGCCAAUGAUAAAUUGGAGGAAGGUGAGGAUCACGUCAAAUCAGCAUGCCCCUUAUGACCUGGGCUACAAACGUGAUACAAUGGCUGUUACAAAGGGUAGCUGAAACGCAAGUUCUUGGCCAAUCCCCAAAAACAGUCCCAGUCCGGAUUGAAGUCUGCAACUCGACUUCAUGAAGUUGGAAUCGCUAGUAAUCGCGAAUCAGCAUGUCGCGGUGAAUACGUUCUCGGGGUUUGUACACACCGCCCGUCA
rnacentral:rRNA from 1 species